rnacentral:rRNA from 1 species
AGCGAACGCUGGCGGCAGGCCUGACACAUGCAAGUCGAACGAACUCUUCGGAGUUAGUGGCGGACGGGUGAGUAACACGUGGGAACGUGCCUUUUGGUUCGGAAUAACUCAGGGAAACUUGUGCUAAUACCGAAUGUGCCCUUCGGGGGAAAGAUUUAUCGCCAUUAGAGCGGCCCGCGUCUGAUUAGCUAGUUGGUGAGGUAACGGCUCACCAAGGCGACGAUCAGUAGCUGGUCUGAGAGGAUGACCAGCCACACUGGGACUGAGACACGGCCCAGACUCCUACGGGAGGCAGCAGUGGGGAAUCUUGCGCAAUGGGCGAAAGCCUGACGCAGCCAUGCCGCGUGAAUGAUGAAGGUCUUAGGAUUGUAAAAUUCUUUCACCGGGGACGACAAUGACGGUACCCGGAGAAGAAGCCCCGGCUAACUUCGUG